CUGCGUUAGGGAUAGCAGCGGCACCCUUUUUUUGCUUCGGUAUAUGGCAAAAAAAGGUAUAGCGUAUAGCCCGACCCUUU
rnacentral:sRNA from 1 species